rnacentral:rRNA from 1 species
AAGUAUAAAUUUCCGAAUCGGGAAACCGGCUUGUAAAAAAAUAGAUUUAUUUAUUAUAAAACGUAUGUGGUUAUAAUAAAAUAAAUUAACUUGUUAGUGAAUUGAAUCAUCUAAGUAACUAAUAUAAGCUAAACCAACCGGGAACAGUGUUAGUAGUGGCGAGCGAAAACAUUAAAGACUUGUUUAAAAUUUUAAAAUAAAACUUUGUUUAAAAAUACCGUAGAAGGUUAUUAAAUUAAUUAGUAAGUCCUGUAAAACAAAAGUUUUAAAAAAAUUAAAAAAGUAAAAUGAUCUAAGUCAUAGUUUGUUUAAAUAUUGUGGACCCACCCACAAAGUCUAAUAAAAUUUUAAUGAUAGAUAGUGAAUAAGUACCGUAAGGGAAAGGUGAAAAAAUUAUAUUAUUAUAAGUAUAAAACAUAAUACUAUUACCAGUUGAAGCUUUAAAAUAUAGUGACAGCGUACCUUUUGUAUAAUGUGUCAAUGAGUUUAUUUUCAAAGGCAAGCUUAAAAUUAAGAUAAUGUAGGCUAAAAGAAAUUAAGUUUUAAAAUGCUUUAAAGUCUUUAAAAUAAGACCCGAAACUAAGUGAUCUAGUUAUGAACAGGUUGAAUUUAAAGCGGUAACGCUUAUUGGAGGACCGAACCCGUGUAUGUUGCAAAAUACUGGGACGAUUUGUAAUUAGGGGUGAAAGGCCAAUCAAACUUAGAGAUAGCUGGUUUUCUGCGAAAUCUAUUUAAGUAGAGCGUUUAAUUUAAAUUACCUUUAGUUUGAGGUAGAGCACUUUUUAAUUAAGAGAAGUUAACUAACUUUAUCAAAAUUAACUAAACUCCGAAUGCAAGCUAAAAGAAAUUAAGCAGUCAAACAUAGAAUGCGAAGAUUAUAUGUUAAAAGGGAAACAGCCCAGAUUAUUCGUUAAGGUCCUUAAAAAUAAUUAAGUGAAAAAGAUGCUAAAAAUAUUAAAUACUCGGGAGAUAGGCUUGGAAGCAGCCAAUCUUUAAAGAAAGCGUAACAGCUCACUGAGUCAGCUUUUUUGUGUCGAAUAAUGUAAUGGGACUAAAAUUAUUUACCGAAACGAUAAAAUUUUUAACUUUCAUUUUUUAGUACAUUAAUUUGUACUUUGAUGGUUAAUUAAUUGGUAGCAGAACGUUCUGUAUAAUUCUAAAACUUUAUGGCAGCAUAAAGUGUAAAUAUCAGAAGUGUAUAUAUUGAUAUGAGUAGUAAUAAACAAUGAGUUUAAAAACAUUGUCGUCUAUAAUCUAAGGUUUCCAAAAAAAGGUUAAUCCGUUUUGGUUAAAAGAGAUAAAUCGGUCCCUAAAAUCAUACGAAAGUUUUUUUUGAUGGGUAUUGUUGUUUAAAAUUCAAAUUAACAAUAAAAACAAUGUGACAAAGUAUUAAAGAUUUUUUUAUAUUUAUGGUUUUAUACAUUAAUUUUUGACAUUUUCAAGAAAAAGCAUGUUUUUUACUAAACCGUACUAAAACCGACACAGGUAGAUAAAUUAAGUAAAUUAAGACGUUUGAAAUAAUUGCAUUGAAGGAACUCGGCAAAAUGACUCCGUAACUUAGGAAGAAGGAGUAGCUUUUAUAAAAAGCUGACACAUAAUCGGGGACAGCGACUGUUUAAUAAAAACACAGGUUUCUGCAAAUUUGUAAAAAGAUGUAUAGAGACUGACGCCUGCCCAGUGCUGAAAGAUUAAAGAUAAUAGUUUUAGCUAAAGUCUUAACUCCCAGUAAACGGCGGCUGUAACUCUGACGGUCCGAAGGUAGCGAAAUUCCUUGGCAUUUAAUUGGUGUCCCGCACGAAUGGCGUAACGACUGUCCUACUGUCUCCAGUGCAACUUCAAUGAAAUUGAAUUCUCUGUGAAGAUGCAGAGUAUCUACGGCUAGACGGAAAGACCCCGUGCACCUUUACUAUAGUUAUAUAUUGUACUAAAAAUUUUUAUGUGUAGAAUAGGUGGAAAGUUGUUAGUAGAUUGUUACGCAAGUAAUCUGUUUAUAACAAAGAUUGAAAUACCACUUUUAAAUCUUUUUAGUACUCACUUAUUAGGAUAGUAUAUAAUGGAUAGUUUGACUGGGGCGGUCGCCUCCUAAA